rnacentral:rRNA from 1 species
AUACGGAGGGUGCAAGCGUUAAUCGGAAUUACUGGGCGUAAAGCGCGCGUAGGCGGUUAGAUAAGUCGGAUGUGAAAGCCCCGGGCUCAACCUGGGAACUGCAUUCGAUACUGUUAAGCUAGAGUAUGGUAGAGGGAAGUGGAAUUCCAGGUGUAGCGGUGAAAUGCGUAGAUAUCUGGAGGAACAUCAGUGGCGAAGGCGACUUCCUGGACCAAUACUGACGCUGAGGUGCGAAAGCGUGGGGAGCAAACAGGAUUAGAAACCCUAGUAGUCC